AGAGUUGCACUAUAAUGUUAAAAGACACAACUGCCUUGUGCUUUCAUAUUUUCAUUAAUUUCAGAAUCUGCCCACAGCUUGAUACCUUACACAAUGCAAGAUUUGGAAUAUCCAGGCUUUCAUUGCUCUGUCUGCACUACUGCUGCUGCUCUGAAGAGACAAAUAUUUUAUAUAAUAUAUUAUUUGUUUUAUUGUUUUAUUUGACCGGAUUCUCUUCUCUUCUGUGUCUGACUUCCUACUCGGCUCAUCUGCUCUCUUGAUGCGGCAAGGCCAAGGCUUCUGUCA